CUUGAGGAGGAAGCCCCGGCUAACUACGUGCCAGCAGCCGCGGUAAUACGUAGGGGGCUAGCGUUAUCCGGAUUUACUGGGCGUAAAGGGUGCGUAGGCGGUUUUUCAAGUCAGGAGUGAAAGGCUACGGCUCAACCGUAGUAAGCUCUUGAAACUGGGAGACUUGAGUGCAGGAGAGGAGAGUGGAAUUCCUAGUGUAGCGGUG
rnacentral:rRNA from 1 species